UACGGAGGAUUCGAGCGUUAUCCGGAUUUAUUGGGUUUAAAGGGUGCGUAGGCUGUAAAUUAAGUCAGUGGUGAAAGGUUUGGGCUUAACUCGGACAGUGCCAUUGAAACUGAUUUACUUGAGUACAGAUGAAGUUGGCGGAAUGUGUCAAGUAGCGGUGAAAUGCAUAGAUAUGACACAGAACACCGAUAGCGAAGGCAGCUGACUAAGGUGU
rnacentral:rRNA from 1 species